GACGAACGCUGGCGGCGUGCUUAACACAUGCAAGUCGAACGGAAAGGCGCUGCUUUUGUGGGGUGCUCGAGUGGCGAACGGGUGUGUAACAUGUGAGUAACCUGCCCUGGACUGUGGGAUAACUUGAGGAAACUGGGGCUAAUACCGGAUAGGAGCUCCUGAUGCAUGGUGGGGGUUGGAAAGUUUCGGCGGUUGGGGAUGGACUCGCGGCUUGUCAGCUUGUUGGGGGGGUACUGGCUUACCCAGGCUUUGAUGGGUAGCCGGCAUGGGAGCUGGACCACCGCCAAUGGGACUACGGUACGGACCAGUCGCGAACGGUGGACAACGGUGGGAAAUAUUGCCCAGUGGUGCGAAGCCUGAGGCAGCGACGCCGGGUGCGUAAUGACGGCCUUCUGGUGAAAAACCGCUUUGGCCUAUUACCAAGCGGGAGUGACGGUAAUGGGUAAAGAAGCACCGGCUAACUACGUG
rnacentral:rRNA from 1 species